rnacentral:rRNA from 1 species
UACGUAGGGUGCAAGCGUUAAUCGGAAUUACUGGGCGUAAAGCGUGCGCAGGCGGUCGAAUAAGUCGAAUGUGAAAGCCCCCGGCUUAACUGGGGAGGGUCAUUCGAUACUGCUCGACUUGAAGGCAGGAGAGGGUAGUGGAAUUCCCGGUGUAGUGGUGAAAUGCGUAGAUAUCGGGAGGAACACCAGUGGCGAAGGCGACUACCUGGCCUGUUCUUGACGCUGAGGCGCGAAAGCUGGGGGAGCAAACGGG